rfam:Bacilli bacterium VT-13-104 contig002, whole genome shotgun sequence.
GCGCCCUUAGCUCAGCAGGAUAGAGCAACAGCCUUCUAAGCUGUGGGUCAGAGGUUCGAAUCCUCUAGGGCGCG